rnacentral:rRNA from 1 species
AUAAUGGGUCAGCGACUUAUAUUCUGUAGCAAGGUUAACCGAAUAGGGGAGCCGAAGGGAAACCGAGUCUUAACUGGGCGUUAAGUUGCAGGGUAUAGACCCGAAACCCGGUGAUCUAGCCAUGGGCAGGUUGAAGGUUGGGUAACACUAACUGGAGGACCGAACCGACUAAUGUUGAAAAAUUAGCGGAUGACUUGUGGCUGGGGGUGAAAGGCCAAUCAAACCGGGAGAUAGCUGGUUCUCCCCGAAAGCUAUUUAGGUAGCGCCUCGUGAAUUCAUCUCCGGGGGUAGAGCACUGUUUCGGCAAGGGGGUCAUCCCGACUUACCAACCCGAUGCAAACUGCGAAUACCGGAGAAUGUUAUCACGGGAGACACACGGCGGGUGCUAACGUCCGUCGUGAAGAGGGAAACAACCCAGACCGCCAGCUAAGGUCCCAAAGUCAUGGUUAAGUGGGAAACGAUGUGGGAAGGCCCAGACAGCCAGGAUGUUGGCUUAGAAGCAGCCAUCAUUUAAAGAAAGCGUAAUAGCUCACUGGUCGAGUCGGCCUGCGCGGAAGAUGUAACGGGGCUAAACCAUGCACCGAAGCUGCGGCAGCGACGCUUAUGCGUUGUUGGGU